UUUAUAAAGUAACUUGUAGAAUAUGCAAUGAAUGUUACACUGGAGAAGCAUCUCGUAUAUUUUACGAGUGAUAUAUAGAACACGUAAGAGACUUGUAUCAACUCAGCAAAAGUGCCUGUGCCAUAGCGGAUCACUACAUAGAAAAGCUUGGUAGAAAUAGUGCCGAGUGUAUCACUACAUAGAAAAACUUGGUAGAACGGCACUGACUAUCCUUUAUAAAUAGAGAUCUUUGGCACAGCUACUAAUUUGCUUGACCGUGAAUACAAAAGAAGCCUUACUUAUUUGUAAAUUUAAGCCACAAAUUGAUUGCGAUAUAGGCUGGUCAUAAUGAUCGUAGAACUUUUUUCCUCAACUAGUUGACUUCACUUUCAAAUCACCGAAGAAGCUGUAGAAACGAAACAUUGAGCGAGAUAAACAUUUCGUUGUUCUGGAGUUUAUGGUCGUUUUUUCAUCAUCUGAAAUGUCGAAGUCCACAGCAGACGAUCCACGCUGAAGAACAAGGGAACUGCCCAUUAGAAACGUGCGGGAAAUGUUCACCUAGUUUUUCCUGGUAGCGAAUCCUUUGUAUGGCUGGCUGUUUUUCAGCAAUUC